GCUUACGGCUAUACCAGCCUGAAAGCGCCCGAUCUCGUCAGAUCUCGGAAGCUAAACAGGGUCGGGCCUGGUUAGUACUUGGAUGGGAGACUGCUUGGGAAUACCAGGUGUUGUAAGCA
ensembl:rRNA 5S_rRNA 5S ribosomal RNA